rnacentral:rRNA from 1 species
UACGUAGGGUGCGAGCGUUGUCCGGAAUUAUUGGGCGUAAAGAGCUCGUAGGCGGUUUGUCGCGUCGACUGUGAAAACCCGAGGCUUAACCUCGGGCCUGCAGUCGAUACGGGCAGACUAGAGUUCGGUAGGGGAGACUGGAAUUCCUGGUGUAGCGGUGAAAUGCGCAGAUAUCAGGAGGAACACCGGUGGCGAAGGCGGGUCUCUGGGCCGAUAUUGACGCUGAGGAGCGAAAGCGUGGGGAGCAAACAGG